AUGACUUGAAGAGUUUUAUGUGUAUUAACUCAAUUAAUCCGCACAAAAACCCAAGGAAGUGGACACAAAUAGCCCCAGAACAGGGAGAAGGAGAUUGUGAAGAAAGCUCAUGGGACAGAGCAUCAUCACUGACUCGUGAUGUCUGUCAUGGACAGAGGACUGGGUGAAGUAUCCUACAGAACAGAGAUUUGCCUUCCCUCCUGGAUACAUUUCCCCUAUGUCCUCCUUCAAAAUGAAUGCCCACCGUUGGCAUGGGUGCCAAAGCGAAGACUGCGCCACCUUGGAAUCGUCCUUCUCCGUCAGUACUCAGUCUUUCAGUGCAUCACCAAACAGUCAGUCAGCGCUGAUAUUACAGUUCCUAUAUAGUUCUCAAAUACUUCUACUUUUCUGCAUCUUUUCUGAAACUACCCUUCUCCAAGAAACCAACUAAAUAACUGGAUGAGCUUACCGA